AGCAGUAGCCGCGGUAAUACGUAGGUGGCAAGCGUUGUCCGGAAUGAUUGGGCGUAAAGGGCUCGCAGGCGGUUUAAUAAGUCUGAUGUGAAAGCCCACGGCUCAACCGUGGAGGGUCAUUGGAAACUGUUAAACUUGAGUGCAGGAGAGAAAAGUGGAAUUCCUAGUGUAGCGGUGAAAUGCGUAGAGAUAGGAGGAACACCAGUGGCGAAGGCGGCUUUUUGGCCUGUAACUGACACUGAGGCGCGAAAGCGUGGGGAGCAAACAGGAUUAGAUACCCCUGUAGUCCCUGUCUCUUAUACA
rnacentral:rRNA from 1 species